rnacentral:rRNA from 1 species
UGUUUCGGCAAGGGGGUCAUCCCGACUUACCAACCCGAUGCAAACUGCGAAUACCGGAGAAUGUUAUCACGGGAGACACACGGCGGGUGCUAACGUCCGUCGUGAAGAGGGAAACAACCCAGACCGCCAGCUAAGGUCCCAAAGUCAUGGUUAAGUGGGAAACGAUGUGGGAAGGCCCAGACAGCCAGGAUGUUGGCUUAGAAGCAGCCAUCAUUUAAAGAAAGCGUAAUAGCUCACUGGUCGAGUCGGCCUGCGCGGAAGAUGUAACGGGGCUAAACCAUGCACCGAAGCUGCGGCAGCGACGCUUAUGCGUUGUUGGGUAGGGGAGCGUUCUGUAAGCCUGUGAAGGUGUACUGUGAGGUAUGCUGGAGGUAUCAGAAGUGCGAAUGCUGACAUAAGUAACGAUAAAGCGGGUGAAAAGCCCGCUCGCCGGAAGACCAAGGGUUCCUGUCCAACGUUAAUCGGGGCAGGGUGAGUCGACCCCUAAGGCGAGGCCGAAAGGCGUAGUCGAUGGGAAACAGGUUAAUAUUCCUGUACUUGGUGUUACUGCGAAGGGGGGACGGAGAAGGCUAUGUUGGCCGGGCGACGGUUGUCCCGGUUUAAGCGUGUAGGCUGGUUUUCCAGGCAAAUCCGGAAAAUCAAGGCUGAGGCGUGAUGACGAGGCACUACGGUGCUGAAGCAACAAAUGCCCUGCUUCCAGGAAAAGCCUCUAAGCAUCAGGUAACAUCAAAUCGUACCCCAAACCGACACAGGUGGUCAGGUAGAGAAUACCAAGGCGCUUGAGAGAACUCGGGUGAAGGAACUAGGCAAAAUGGUGCCGUAACUUCGGGAGAAGGCACGCUGAUAUGUAGGUGAAGUCCCUUGCGGAUGGAGCUGAAAUCAGUCGAAGAUACCAGCUGGCUGCAACUGUUUAUUAAAAACACAGCACUGUGCAAACACGAAAGUGGACGUAUACGGUGUGACGCCUGCCCGGUGCCGGAAGGUUAAUUGAUGGGGUCAGCGCAAGCGAAGCUCUUGAUCGAAGCCCCGGUAAACGGCGGCCGUAACUAUAACGGUCCUAAGGUAGCGAAAUUCCUUGUCGGGUAAGUUCCGACCUGCACGAAUGGCGUAAUGAUGGCCAGGCUGUCUCCACCCGAGACUCAGUGAAAUUGAACUCGCUGUGAAGAUGCAGUGUACCCGCGGCAAGACGGAAAGACCCCGUGAACCUUUACUAUAGCUUGACACUGAACAUUGAGCCUUGAUGUGUAGGAUAGGUGGGAGGCUUUGAAGUGUGGACGCCAGUCUGCAUGGAGCCGACCUUGAAAUACCACCCUUUAAUGUUUGAUGUUCUAACGUUGACCCGUAAUCCGGGUUGCGGACAGUGUCUGGUGGGUAGUUUGACUGGGGCGGUCUCCUCCUAAAGAGUAACGGAGGAGCACGAAGGUUGGCUAAUCCUGGUCGGACAUCAGGAGGUUAGUGCAAUGGCAUAAGCCAGCUUGACUGCGAGCGUGACGGCGCGAGCAGGUGCGAAAGCAGGUCAUAGUGAUCCGGUGGUUCUGAAUGGAAGGGCCAUCGCUCAACGGAUAAAAGGUACUCCGGGGAUAACAGGCUGAUACCGCCCAAGAGUUCAUAUCGACGGCGGUGUUUGGCACCUCGAUGUCGGCUCAUCACAUCCUGGGGCUGAAGUAGGUCCCAAGGGUAUGGCUGUUCGCCAUUUAAAGUGGUACGCGAGCUGGGUUUAGAACGUCGUGAGACAGUUCGGUCCCUAUCUGCCGUGGGCGCUGGAGAACUGAGGGGGGCUGCUCCUAGUACGAGAGGACCGGAGUGGACGCAUCACUGGUGUUCGGGUUGUCAUGCCAAUGGCACUGCCCGGUAGCUAAAUGCGGAAGAGAUAAGUGCUGAAAGCAUCUAAGCACGAAACUUGCCCCGAGAUGAGUUCUCCCUGACUCCUUGAGAGUCCUGAAGGAACGUUGAAGACGACGACGUUGAUAGGCCGGGUGUGUAAGCGCAGCGAUGCGUUGAGCUAACCGGUACUAAUGAACCGUGAGGCUUAACCUUACAACGCCGAAG